AGAUGCUUCUCAUUCUUUUCUCCUUGAAGCCUUUUAGUUGGAAAUAUUGCAGAAAUGAAUCCAUUGAUACCCUUUCAGCAGAUGCUAUCUUCAAAUGUGUUUAAUACUUAUUCUCUUCCUUUUCUCACUACAGCACAGAAAGCAAUAACCCUCUCUGAGGCGGACUAUCAAGGUGAAAUACUGUGCAGCAUCUAACUUCAACAGUGGAGGCACAGCGUUAAAUCAGAAGCAGGGAAUAACUUUCCAUAGCUGACCAAGUUGGAGAACAUGGAGACAAACUCAGAGCCAAAGCUGGAGAAGAGAAUUUAUCACAAGAACUAGUGCUAUCUUGCUGACAACCCGAUCCUCCUCAUCCUGGCCUUACUCCCCUAUUCUACAGCCUGGAGAAUAAUUAAAACUC